UCGUAAGUUAUAUACCUGAACAACUGAAACGAUUGUCAAUGAUUUAAAGGCAACCUGGGUAAUCUUUGAGGCAAAGAAUAUACCUUAGAUGAGCGAUCAACCCCUGCCAGGCCUUUGGACUUUGGAGGCCCAUCUACUAUUUAAAUGUAAAAAUAAGAACUAUAAAUUCUAUCAUUUAUAAUAUAUUUAAUAAUUUAAAUGCUUUUAACGAGUACUUCACUCAGCUAAAAUAUGAGUAUGCACAUUUUUAUAUGAAGAUGAAUAUAUAAAAAGUGAUCAAUAAUCUAAAUAUAGUUAUACAGAAGCAUUGGAGAAUAAGGAAAAGCGAAAUGUCGAAGAUCUCAUAGUGUCGAAGAUCUCGUAAUGAAUAUGUAUAUAAUGUACAACAGGAGAGGUAAAACUUGAAACGCAAUCAGAACACAACAACGUGCACAUUUCUAAAGACUAAAAAACUGAAAAUGUAAAUUGUUUCAUAAUUAGUCUAGUAAACCUUGAGUUCUUGUUGUGGGCUUGGACUAUGCAUAACUGAACGUGAUAUGUUGCCCAUCUGAACAACAAUUCUUUCCAUGGCUGCUUCCGUCUCGACCAAACGUCGUCUCAGUUGAUCUAUCUCUAUGUCUCCUGCCGCUUCUUGUGUUCCAGCAUGUAUAACAUUACCAAACGUGUUCAGAGAAUAUACACGAGUACUUACAA